ACCACCCAAACUACAAAGAAAAUAUAAACAACUGAAUAAUAUAACAUAGCCACUGUUGGUAGCCGAAUUCCUCGACCCUUGACCCGGUCAAAAAUCCUCCUCAGGAAGCGCGUCGGGGUGAGGAACGGCUGCGGAUAGUGACCUUCGAAGUUUGCGCCCUUCGACAGAUCAAGCGAUUCGGCUGACGAGGGAUCGGAUCAGCCGAAUUCGAAAAUCUUUACUGUAGAAUCGGUUCGGCCGGAUGAGCCGAAUGUAUGAACUGUGUAGGGAUCAAUGUCGGCAGAAGAGCCGAAUAAAUAAAAUACACAAUGACUGGUCGGCUAAAAGAGCCGAAUGCCUAUAUAUAUAUAUAUAUAAAUAAAAUAGAGUGUGCCCGAAGAGCAUACAAACUCUGCAAAUAUGUAGUUUACAACAGAGUGAUGCCCGUGGGGCAGACAGACUCCAGGGUUCUACUUAAAAGCUACUCCUAGGAAAGCAGAAAUGCGAAAAAGAAAAUAUUACAUUUAGACUACUCCUAGAAAGCAAUAAAUGUAGAAAAGGAAAUAUAUGAAAAUGCGGGGAGUGGUUGUAUCCAUGAUCGUGGAAGUUACUAUUUAUAGUGAUGUCUUCUCAGCCACAUUAUUGGUUGGUUGAAAGUAGUGGGGGGAGUGGUUGUAUCCAUGAUCGUGGAAGUUACGCCCACUUCUCAUGGAAGUUACGCCUCCACUUCUCAACCGUUCCCGCCUAAACGCUCUUGACUUU
rnacentral:lncRNA from 1 species